UACGGAGGGUGCGAGCGUUGUCCGGAAUCACUGGGCGUAAAGGGCGCGUAGGCGGCCUUCUAAGUCAGACGUGAAAUCCCCCGGCUUAACCUGGGAACUGCGUCUGAUACUGGAGGGCUUGAGUGCGGGAGAGGGAUGUGGAAUUCCAGGUGUAGCGGUGAAAUGCGUAGAUAUCUGGAGGAACACCGGUGGCGAAGGCGGCAUCCUGGACCGGUAUUGACGCUGAGGCGCGAAAGCCAGGGGAGCAAAGCGGG
rnacentral:rRNA from 1 species